rnacentral:rRNA from 1 species
UACGUAGGCAGCAAGCGUUGUUCGGAAUUACUGGGCGUAAAGCGCGUGUAGGCGGCUAAGUAAGUCGGGCGUGAAAUCCCACGGCUCAACCGUGGAAGUGCACUCGAAACUGCAUAGCUAGAGUCCUGGAGAGGAAGGUGGAAUGCUUGGUGUAGAGGUGAAAUUCGUAGAUAUCAAGCGGAACACCGGUGGCGAAGGCGGCCUUCUGGACAGUGACUGACGCUGAGACGCGAAAGCGUGGGGAGCAAACAGGG